UAGUGGCGGACGGGUGAGUAAUGCAUAGGAAUCUGCCGUAUAGAGGGGGAUAACAGUUGGAAACGACUGCUAAUACCGCAUAAUGCCUUUGGGUUAAAGGGUAGCUUUUGCUGUCGCUAUACGAUGAGCCUAUGUUGGAUUAGCUAGUUGGUGGGGUAAGGGCCUACCAAGGCGACGAUCCAUAGCUGUUCUGAGAGGAAGAUCAGCCACACUGGGACUGAGACACGGCCCAGACUCCUACGGGAGGCAGCAGUGGGGAAUAUUGGACAAUGGGGGCAACCCUGAUCCAGCAAUACCAUGUGUGUGAAGAAGGCCUUAGGGUUGUAAAGCACUUUAGUUAGGGAGGAAAGCGAUUUGGUUAAGAGCUGGAUUGUGUGACGUUACCUAAAGAAUAAGCACCGGCUAACUCCGUGCCAGCAGCCGCGGUAAUACGGAGGGUGCGAGCGUUAAUCGGAAUUACUGGGCGUAAAGGGUUCGUAGGUGGUUAGAUAAGUCAGAUGUGAAAGGCCUGGGCUCAACCUGGGAAUUGCAUUUGAUACUGUUUAACUAGAGUUCGGUAGAGGAUUGAGGAAUUUCCGGUGUAGCGGUGAAAUGCGUAGAGAUCGGAAGGAACAUCAAUGGCGAAGGCAACAAUCUGGGCCUGAACUGACACUGAGGGACGAAAGCGUGGGUAGCAAACAGGAUUAGAUACCCUGGUAGUCCAUGCUGUAAACGAUGAGUACUUGCUGUUGGCUCUGGUGUAAAAGAGUUAGUGGCGCAGUUAACGCGAUAAGUACUCCGCCUGGGGACUACGGGCCGCAAGGCUAAACUCAAAGGAAUUGACGGGGACCCGCACAAGCGGUGUAACAUGUGGUUUAUUUCGAUGCAACGCGAAGAGCCUUACCUACCCUUGACAUCCACGGGACGGUUGAGAGAUUGACUGGUGCCUUCGGGAGCCGUGAGACAGGUGCUGCAUGGCUGUCGUCAGCUCGUGUUGUGAAAUGUUGGGUUAAGUCCCGCAACGAGCGCAACCCUUAUUUUUUAGUUGCCAUCGGGUAAAGCUGGUCACUCUAAAGAGACUGCCGCUGAUAAGGCGGAGGAAGGUGGGGAUGAUGUCAAGUCAUCAUGGCCCUUACGGGUAGGGCUACACACGUGCUACAAUGGGCAUUACAAAGGGAUGCGAAACUGCGAAGUCGAGCGAAACUCAGAAAGGUGUUCGUAGUUCGGAUUGAUCUCUGCAACUCGAGAUCAUGAAGUCGGAAUCGCUAGUAAUCGUGGAUCAGCAUGCCACGGUGAAUACGUUCUCGGGUCUUGUACACACCGCCCGUCACACCAUGGGAGUGGGUUGCAAAAGAAGUAGAUA
rnacentral:rRNA from 1 species